rnacentral:snRNA from 1 species
AUAAUUAUCUGUCAGGGGAGACACCAUGAUCAAGAAGAUGGUUCACCCAGCCUUUUCCCCAGUAACCUGUGUUUUUGGGGGUUCAAAGGCUUUGUUUUAAAGUUUUUUG